UCUUGGUCUUAGUUAUGUCCUUCCAAGUACCUUGAGGGUCCCCUUGCAAGGAAACAAUAGGAAAGGAUUGGAAGUUCUUGGGGUGCAGUGAAGCCUUAUUAGAUCACACCUCUGGGGAGUGUGUAUAAUAUUUUGUAAUUACCUCUAAAUCUUAUUUUGUUUAAUUGGAGUAUCUUUUUAGGUCAAUUGGGAUCCUCUUGGGACAUGACACCCGUUUCUUUUAAACUGUCCUUAAGGUUUUAUUUUGCUUGA